ensembl:lncRNA
CUUAUGGGGAAAAAAAGUCUUUUUUGAGAUAACAAACAACAAGAACAUGGACAACAGACAUGGAUGGAUGGACAGACGGACUGAAGAGAAGAAGGAUGGACGGAGGUAAACUCAAAAUCGUUGCCACGAGAUGAAGGUACAAAAGGUUUCUUUCAAAAUAAAAGAAAGUAUAAAAACAAAAACUCAGCAACUUCUCCAGUUACUUUGUUUCUAAAAGAUUAAUGGAUGCAAACAAUUCAUCAUCGUCGUCAUGUCUUAUUAAUAAAAGCAAACAUUCUGAAUCUGUUUCGCCAUCAUAACUCUGCAGAGUUAAAAAGACGUGCCAACACUGAGAGACCCUCAAAUAUAACAUGGAGGCUUUUAGGACCCCUGGGAGCAGGUGGAGAUCAGUGCACUGUCUUUCUUUCACUUUCUUUUUUAAACACCGGGAGGUCAAACAAAGGGCAGCACGAGUGAAGACAGACGCGCAUUGUUUGAGGUGUGUAUUAAGCUAAACAUUACUUUAAAAUCAUGUAGCAUGUUGCUCAAAGAGGAAGUAACAGGUCGUAAAUAAUUCAACACAUGACAGAGAGCAGCGAACUGAACGACACUCUAAAUUUAAAUGAGAAAACCUUCAGUACAUGAUCAAUUGUUACCGACAUACAAGAAUCACCAGAAUGUGUCCUCAUGGUGUUCUUAUGGGAAAAAAAAGUAUUUUUUGAGAUAACAAACAACAAGAACAAGGACAACAGACAUGGACGGAUGGACAGACGGACUGAAGAGAAGAAGGAUGGACGGAGGUAAACUCAAAAUCGUUGCCACGAGAUGAAGUUACCAACAAUGGCCGACCACAUCACAGACCUGUAUGUGUCCCACUGUGAGGCUGAUGAGCAGUACCUCCAGUCACGAGGCUUCAAGAAAGUCAACGUUGAUCUGAACAAAGGGGUCGGAGGAAACUUCAUCUAUAUUUGGUACAGAAAACAAUCCGGCCACGCACCAAUCACCAAGAUUCAAUUAACAUUCAACGAUGAGAUGGCUCGUGGAUUGGACAGGGUCGGUUACACCAAGAUUGAUAAAGACCUCAGCGCUGGAGCGGGAGGUGAUUACAUCUACCUUUGGUACUACAGAGGCUCUGGAGAGUUCAACACUCCUAUAGUGGACAUUUACGUCACUACAGUUGCAGAAAGUGAGGUCUGCAUGCUUCGUAACAGUUGGGAGAGACUGACCUGUGAUCUGAACCGUAAUUCUAAAGGGAACUGGAUCCACGUCUGGGUGAAGAGAGAACGUCAGACAUACAUCUGUGAUGUCGCUGCCACUGAUUCCUUCUCAUCAGACGAGCAGAUGUUGAGGGCUGGUUACAUCCGAAUGGAUGAAGAUACCAGCAGGGGUGGCAAAGGAUCCUUUGUAUUCAUCUGGUACCGUCAGACCAUCAACCCCCAGCGUGCACUCACUGACCUGCAGGUGUCCACCAAUGGCAGCGAGCGUCAGGUCCUCGCACAGCGAAAUUACCAGAAAGUGAACGUUAACCUCAACGAGGGGACCGACGGCAGCGCAGUGUACCUGUGGUACAAGACAGGUGAGAGCGACAACCCCAUUAAGGCCACCGUCCUGCUUCUCAACCCAGAAGCUGUUAAGGAGCAUGAGAAUGCCGGUGUCAAUGUUCUCAAAAGAAAUCUCAACACAGGCAACAAAGGCUGGACUGAGUACCUGUGUUUCUAUCAGUGA